rnacentral:tRNA from 1 species
GCCUGGGUGGCUCAGUCGGUUGAGCGUCCGACUUCGGCUCAGGUCAUGAUCUCGCGGUCUGUGGGUUCGAGCCCUGCGCCGGGCU